rnacentral:rRNA from 1 species
CCUACGGGAGGCAGCAGUGAGGAAUAUUGGUCAAUGGGCGAGAGCCUGAACCAGCCAAGUCGCGUGAGGGAGUACUGCCCUAUGGGUUGUAAACCUCUUUUGUCGGGGAGCAAAAGCCGCACGUGUCCGGCUGUGAGAGUACCCGAAGAAAAAGCAUCGGCUAACUCCGUGCCAGCAGCCGCGGUAAUACGGAGGAUGCGAGCGUUAUCCGGAAUUAUUGGGGUUAAAGGGUGCGCAGGCGGAUUUUUAAGUCAGCGGUCAAAUCGUGGGGCUCAACCCCAUCCAGCCGUUGAAACUGGGGAUCUAGAGUGUGCGAGAGGUAUGCGGAAUGCGUGGUGUAGCGGUGAAAUGCAUAGAUAUCACGCAGAACCCCGAUUGCGAAGGCAGCAUACCGGUGCACAACUGACGCUCAGGCACGAAAGCGUGGGUAUCGAACAGGAUUAGAUACCCGUGUAGUC